GAGACGCCUGGGAGUUCACGCUGCAGCCCCAGGGAGGAGGGCGGCCUGCUGGAGUGGGCCUUCCCCGGUCCCAGGCCCCAUGCAGAUCCGGGUUCAAAGCCCAGCCCUGCCCCUGACUUGCCAGGUGACUCUGAGGAAAUCAGGGGCCUGAGACUCAGUCUCCUCAUCUAUGAAAUAGAGCUAACAGUAUCUCCUCUGCAGUGAGGGUGAAACGAAAUCGUGGAUGAUAGACAGGACUUGUUACCCCUUCAUUUCUUCCCAUUCUGCCUCCCACACGUGCCAAGUCUCCGUAUGACGAAGUCACUGAAGGUUUGACCGAGGUGCUGAUAACUGGAGGAGGCGGUGUGUGUAGCUGGAGAACUUUGCUCUUUUGCUGUCAGUGUCCCACCUCAGCUCUCACCUCCCUGUCACAUUGUUCCACCUUGCUGUCAGCCAUCAGUCACCGGAGAGUUUUGGGCUCCUCUGACUUCAAAGGAUGCAGCUGCCCGGAGGGAAAAGAUGUAGCUUUCUUUUUGGGUUCAGACACCUUGCUAAUUGCUGG
rnacentral:lncRNA from 1 species